UACGUAGGGUGCAAGCGUUGUCCGGAAUUAUUGGGCGUAAAGAGCUCGUAGGCGGUCUGUCGCGUCUGCUGUGAAAACUCAGGGCUUAACCCUGAGCUUGCAGUGGGUACGGGCAGGCUUGAGUUCGGUAGGGGAGACUGGAAUUCCUGGUGUAGCGGUGAAAUGCGUAGAUAUCGGAAGGAACAUCAGUGGCGAAAGCGACUUCCUGGACCAAUACUGACGCUCAUGUGCGAAAGCGUGGGGAGCAAACAGG
rnacentral:rRNA from 1 species